CCCCUCUCAGGAUCGCUCCUGGAGAGUUUCCAGUACUCUACCAGUUUCGGCUACGGGAGGGAGAGUCAAACAGAGGUCUGUCCAUUCCAUUCCUGGCUCGGCCAGUGGCUAGUGGGUGGAAGGUCAUCUGCUACCAGU